UAUGAAUCCAGAGUACGACAAUGUAGUAUCCAAACAGAAAACAAAUGACAUAAAACCUGUUGCUCAAUUAACCUAUAAAUUUAGAAACCUGCAAGAACCUCAAACAUACAGAAAGGAAGUUGCUUAGCUCUGCUCAGUUGUGGAUAAAACCAAGGCCCACAGACCAAAAUGGGUCUGGAAAUAAACUUCAGGAAAAGUAAAUAAUGCAUAAAAUAAGCAAGAGAAAACAAGUGGACGUGGGGCAGCCAGAGCUGGUCUGAUGGUGAUGAUGAUGGUGAUGAUGGGGUGGUGAUGAUCAUAGAGAAGAUAACAAUGGUGCUGAUGAUGGUGGUGGUGAUGAUGGAGAUUAUGGUGGUGAUGACAGUGGUGGUGAUAAUGAAGAUGAAAGUAGGAGAUGGAAAAAGGAAGAGCAGGAGGAAGAGGAGAACUUAGAGCUUGUUACAUGGCAUUAACUAUAGUUUCCUGCACUAUAUGGUAAAUCCUUAUUGCACCAUCAAAUGCUGAAGAUGAGGGUUGAAAUGCUCCUGGAUGUAGCCCCAGAGAGACACACAUACCAACUGCGACCACCAAGCCUCCCCCUCCUUGCCAAACAUGCAUCUCUGGACAUGAAAAGAAAGCAGCAUGAGCUUGUGUGUAGUCAACUGGAUUAUCUGAAACCUCCCCGGCUUCCACAGCAGGGACUGGCAUGGGUUUUCUGGAAAGGGCCGAGUAGCAAAGAUUCCCAGCUGUACGGUCUACAUGGCGUCCCUCGGAGGCAAGCAUGCCACUCUGUUGUUUUAGCAAAAAAGCAGCCAUGGAAAAUAACACAUGGAAGCUGCCAUAUUCCACUAAAAUUUUAUUCAUAGAAACAGAUCUGGCCCACAGGUGUGCCGAUCCCUGUUCUGUAGUCAUUUCUGUGACCCACACAGCAAGAGGACUAGUUGUCCUCUCUUCCCCUGAAAUAGCAUGGAAAUUAUUUCACAUUAAAAUAUUUCAACCUGUAUAAGUUUACCUAUAGGCUGUACCUCAAAUGCCUUCUGGAGAAAAAAAAAAAUUCAAACUCUUGUUUCAUAAAAUAAUCAUCUGUGUUUGUGACUGGAGAAGUGAAUGCCUCAGGGUGGGCAAAUGGUCCUGGAGCCACACGGGUCUGUGAGCCACAGCUGGGAGAAGAUUCCUGGCCGUGCUCACCAUCCCCAACCUUACCAUAUGAAAAAUUCUGCCUCUCAAUUAGCAGUGCAGAAAGAAUAGUACUUUCAUUAUAACUCACACUCUGCAAUUUAGGUCAUGCCUACGGCAAUCAAUAAAACCCUCCACUUAGAUUCUCCAUGGUUAAUUUGAUUCCUCCCCCCACAACCAGCUCUAAACCAGUAGAGUUGUUUUGGUUUUUUUUUUUUGCUUUUUUGUUUUUUAAGUUGUUUUCAAUUAAACCAAUUUGUCACAGACACCUCUGUUCUCGAUAGGGUAGUUUCAAUGCAAUUUCUUUUUUGUUUUGAAAAGUGGGCAAAAUGCAUGUGCAAGGGUUAGGUUCCAACCACUAUAGUUUGUGCAAAGAGCUACUAGAAAUAGAGAACAGGUCACACACCACACACACACACAGUUGACUUCCUUUAUAGUUUGAUUGUGCACAAUUCUGUACACACCUUUGAGUGUGCAGAAUGUUAGAUCUUGAUAGUGGUGCUGAUGGUGAUGACAGCUCCACUUUAAUCCAUCAUUGGUACAUGACGAACACCCUCACACAUGUCACCUCAAAUCCUCAUGGCAAAUCCUCUCCCUGUUUACAGAAGAGGAAAUGGAGGACUAGAGAACUGAUAUAGUAUCUAUUUCACAGGGAGGCUGUGAAACACUGAGGUCAAAAGAUAGCUCAGGGUUUAAAUCUCCUCCACCUUACUAAUUUGUGAUGUUGAGCAACUUUCUUAAUCUUGGGCAAGGCUAGGUGUUUUCACUUGUAAACGGUGAUAAUUACAUCUAUCUUAAGACUGUAUUGAAAGAACUAGAUGAGAGAAUAUCUAUAAGCUCCUAGAUGGACGGCUUAGCACACGCGUUAGUCUGAACCAGAAGAAAAGGCCUCUAUUUAACCGCAUCCUAGCCUAGGAAAGUGAUAAUUUCAUAUGGCUGAAACGAUAACAGCUCAGCAAAUGGCAAUAUUGUUGUUACUGCUCCAGGACAAUAGCAGGUGGCAAAGAAGGGAUUUUAAUCUGAAUGUGACUGACGGUAGAAGCCAGUUCGUUUUUGCUAACCUAGUGACUUUCAGAGAAAUACAAUGAUAUUUCUUACAGAGGGGUCUCCUGAUAAACUGAAAAUGACAUCAUGGAACUGGUAUGAUAAGAACAUGGCUGUUUUUUUAUUUUACUAAAAGCAUUUUAUGAACAGGGCAAAGCUAUUUCAUAAUCAGCUUGGUAUAUCCAAAACUUGUUUGAAGUAUAUUAAUCAAAUGUCAGUUGAAUAAAAAUGUGAACUGUCUCUCUCCUUUAAUGUAUGAAGGUUCAUGAUCUACUGAAAAUUGGGAUCUGCCUCAUUAAACAGUUAUAAUUAACUCUGCUCAUAAUAUUCUACAGUGGAAUUGCUGUCGUGGUUGGUACUUAACGCUAGGAGGAUAAUUCAGCAGCAUUUGAAGGAAGAACAAUCAGAUUUUCUCUUUUCACAUUCCAUGUUGGGAACUGGGAGUAAACUGAACUUUCUCUUCCCAGGCUGGGGAAUCUUAGGGUAAAGAGACUUCCCCUCAAAUGCCUGUCUGCUCAUUGACAGGUUUAAAAGAAAUAACUUUCCAUCUGAAACUAAA